rnacentral:lncRNA from 1 species
UGAGCUGUGGGUUUUAGGGUUUCAACUCUAGGUUUUAUGAGAAAAAAAUACAAGAGUGAGUGUUGUCCAAUCUUUCACACAACCACCUCCUCAUAAAGCUUCAUCUUCUGAUCCAGAAGAGUCCAAAAGAUCUAAAGAAAGGAGCUUGGAUCAGCCAUCCAGAGCCUUCAACGUGAGUUAGCACUCCCACGAAGGAAGAUCGGAUCCAGGCUUUGAGAGGAUAAUCUGUAG